UCCGAAGGGGGCUAGCGUUGCUCGGAAUUACUUGGCGUAAAGGGCGCGUAGGCGGAUGUUUAAGUCAGCGGUGAAAGCCCAGGGCUCAACCUUGGAACUGCCAUUGAUACUGGACAUCUUGAGUACGGGAGAGGUGAGUGGAACACCGAGUGUAGAGGUGAAAUUCGUAGAUAUUCGGUAGAACACCAGUGGCGAAGGCGACUCACUGGCCCGUUACUGACGCUGAGGCGCGAAAGCGUGGGGAGCAAACAGG
rnacentral:rRNA from 1 species